UGUAAUUAUGUAUUUUAUUAAAGUGUAAAUGGAACUCGAUUUAAUUAACAUAUCUAAUAAUAAACAACAUUGAAGAGGCAAAUUGACCUGAAAGUAAAAGAAACAAUCAAACAGUUCGUAGCCAAGACUUCGGAAGGGAUAAUCACCCCCGAAUUUCUUUUGAACUUUCCAUACAAAUUUUCUACCUCCUGAUCGUCCAAUCAGGAAGCAAGUGAUAACCAACAAUCAUGUCAAAGAAAAAUAAAAAUACAGGCAAAAAAAAUAGACAAUAUCACUUCAAUGAUAAAGUAAUUCAACCUCGUCAAGAAUUAUCAAAAUUUGUGUUCAGAAG